CCGUCAAGGAUAUGUCAGACACCAUACUGGUCAUUAUGGUAGGAGACACACUUGAAGCUGUUCACAGAGAGGAUGCCAAAAGCAGAGGCAUGUGAUGGAGAAUAAUGCAGGAGCUCAAAGAGCCUGUGGUGGGGAGUUGUAUGUGUCCACCUGGCUAGGAUGUAGCACACAGUUACUCAAUCCAACACUAAUCUAAGUGUUGCUCUGAAGGGAUUUUGUAGAUUGGGCUAACAUCUACUAUCAGUUGACUUAAGGAGAUUAUCUUCAAUAAUUUGAAUAGGCCCCAUUUGAUCAGUUAAAGGCCUAAAGAGUGGAAUUGAGGUUCCUCUGAGGAAGAAGAAAUUCUUCCCCAAGACUGCAGCAUCAUCAGCUCCUGCCUGAGCACUUGCAGCCUGCUGACCUGCCCUGAAGAUUUCAGAAUUUGCCAACCCCACAAUUCCAUGAGCAGAUACCUUAAAGUAAGCCUUUUUUUAUUUCUGUCUCUAUCUCUAUGUCUCUCUCUCUUCCUCUACUUCUACCUCUUUAUCUCCAUCGCUGCCUCCAUCUUCAUCACCAUCUCUAUCAUCUCUGUCUCCAUCUGUAUCUCUAAGUGUGCAUCCAUAUCUCUGUCUGCAUAUCUUGU
rnacentral:lncRNA from 1 species